rnacentral:rRNA from 1 species
AUUGAACGCUGGCGGCAGGCCUAACACAUGCAAGUCGAGCGGAGGAAGGGAGCUUGCUCCUGGAUUCAGCGGCGGACGGGUGAGUAAUGCCUAGGAAUCUGCCUGGCAGUGGGGGAUAACGUCCGGAAACGGGCGCUAAUACCGCAUACGUCCUGAGGGAGAAAGUGGGGGAUCUUCGGACCUCACGCUAUCAGAUGAGCCUAGGUCGGAUUAGCUAGUUGGUGGGGUAAAGGCCUACUAAGGCGACGAUCCGUAACUGGUCUGAGAGGAUGAUCAGUCACACUGGAACUGAGACACGGUCCAGACUCCUACGGGAGGCAGCAGUGGGGAAUAUUGGACGAUGGGCGAAAGCCUGAUCCAGCCAUGCCGCGUGUGUGAAGAAGGUCUUCGGAUUGUAAAGCACUUUAAGUUGGGAGGAAGGGCAGUAAGUUAAUACCUUGCUGUUUUGACGUUACCAACAGAAUAAGCACCGGCUAACUACGUG